rnacentral:sRNA from 1 species
AAAAGUCGUAACAAGGUUUCCGUAGGUGAACCUGCGGAAGGAUCAUUACCGAGUGAGGGCCCUCUGGGUCCAACCUCCCACCCGUGUUUAUUUUACCUUGUUGCUUCGGCGGGCCCGCCUUAACUGGCCGCCGGGGGGCUUACGCCCCCGGGCCCGCGCCCGCCGAAGACACCCUCGAACUCUGUCUGAAGAUUGUAGUCUGAGUGAAAAUAUAAAUUAUUUAAAACUUUCAACAACGGAUCUCUUGGUUCCGGCAUCGAUGAAGAACGCAGCGAAAUGCGAUACGUAAUGUGAAUUGCAAAUUCAGUGAAUCAUCGAGUCUUUGAACGCACAUUGCGCCCCCUGGUAUUCCGGGGGGCAUGCCUGUCCGAGCGUCAUUUCUGCCCUCAAGCACGGCUUGUGUGUUGGGCCCCGUCCUCCGAUCCCGGGGGACGGGCCCGAAAGGCAGCGGCGGCACCGCGUCCGGUCCUCGAGCGUAUGGGGCUUUGUCACCCGCUCUGUAGGCCCGGCCGGCGCUUGCCGAUCAACCCAAAUUUUUAUCCAGGUUGACCUCGGAUCAGGUAGGGAUACCCGCUGAACUUAAGCAUAUCAAUAAGCGGAGGAAAAGAAACCAACAGGGAUUGCCCCAGUAACGGCGAGUGAAGCGGCAAGAGCUCAAAUUUGAAAGCUGGCUCCUUCGGGGUCCGCAUUGUAAUUUGUAGAGGAUGCUUCGGGAGCGGUCCCCAUCUAAGUGCCCUGGAACGGGACGUCAUAGAGGGUGAGAAUCCCGUAUGGGAUGGGGUGUCCGCGCCCGUGUGAAGCUCCUUCGACGAGUCGAGUUGUUUGGGAAUGCAGCUCUAAAUGGGUGGUAAAUUUCAUCUAAAGCUAAAUAUUGGCCGGAGACCGAUAGCGCACAAGUAGAGUGAUCGAAAGAUGAAAAGCACUUUGAAAAGAGAGUUAAAAAGCACGUGAAAUUGUUGAAAGGGAAGCGCUUGCGACCAGACUCGCUCGCGGGGUUCAGCCGGCAUUCGUGCCGGUGUACUUCCCCGCGGGCGGGCCAGCGUCGGUUUGGGCGGUCGGUCAAAGGCCCUCGGAAGGUAACGCCCCUAGGGGCGUCUUAUAGCCGAGGGUGCAAUGCGACCUGCCUAGACCGAGGAACGGGCUUCGGCUCGGAAGCUGGGAUAAUGGUCGUAAACGACCCGUCUUGAAACACGGACCAAGGA